rnacentral:SRP_RNA from 1 species
GUUUGUGUCCCAGCUACUCCAGGAGGCUGAGGUGGGAGGAUUGCUUGAGCCCAGGAGUUCUGGGCUGUAGUGUGCUAUGCUGAUCAGGUGUCCGCACUAAGUUCAGCAUCAAUAUGGUGACGUCCCAAGACUGGGGGACCACCAGGUUGCCUAAGGAGGGGUGAACCGGCCCAGGUUGGAAAUAGAGCAGUUCAAAAUUCCCGUGCUGAUCAGCAGUGGGAUCGCGCCUGUGAAUAGCCACUGCACUCCAGCCUGGGCAACAUAGUGAGACCCUGUCUCU